rnacentral:SRP_RNA from 1 species
GUUAGGUGUGGUAAUAUACUCCUAUAAUCCCUGUUACUGGAAUAAGCUGAGGUUGGUGUAUCUCUUGAGCUCAGGAGUUCUGAGCUGCAGUAGAGCUAAAGCCAAUUGGGAAUCCACACUGAAUCUGGUAUCAACAUGGUGAGCCCCUGAGAGGGCAGAGCCAGGAGAGGGAAAGGGGAUACUAGAUUGCCUAAGGAGUGGCUUAUAGGCCCAGGUUGGAGACAGAGUAGGUCAAAGCCUUUGUGCUGAUCAACAAUAAGAUUAGGUCUACCACUGGCCACUGUAGUUCUAGCCUGGGCAAGAUAGAGAGACUCAGUCUCAA